ACCAAGAUCUGUUAGUGCCAGAAAGGGCUGGUAUGUGCCCUGAUCAUUGAUAGUGCAGGGAGAGGAUUGCUGAAAGGAGUUUUCCCCAUGUUUGAAGGGUCCAGCUGUCCCUUCCAAACCCUGGAACUUUCAAACA
ensembl:snoRNA SNORA71 Small nucleolar RNA SNORA71